UGCGUUUAUUUGGCUGCCAAAAGAUGAUUGUCCUCCAUUUUGCAAACGGUUCCGUUGGCUUGAAGAGAUCUGCACUUGAAAUCUUCGCUUUUGACUUUUAACGUUACAGGUAUUGAGAAAUGUCCUUGCUUGAUGACUGGAUCAGGAAAUGCCUGUGAUGCUUGGGUAUUCAGGCAAGCUACAGGUCAAAGAUGCGUAACCUUGGAUGUCCAGUGACCGCCGUUUUCCAAAAGAAGGUCAUAAGUUCCAGAAGAAGGUUUAAAGGACAUAAAAUGACCAAACAUUUGAGGAUUUUGCAAGGUACAGAGACUGUACAUCUGAGGAAGGAGGCAGCCAUCAAGACCCCGUGCCUUUAUUUUGGUGAAGAUGAUGAUUCUCUCAUACAUGUACAUGGAUAUCCAUGGCAAGGAGGUGUCAAGAGAAAACCACCCCUUGGAACAUGAGGACAUCGGCAUCGUUGUGGAUGGAGGCAUCAUUUUGGAGGAACCUUGGUCUCUGGCAAAAGGCUGUGCAGUGAAGCCAGAGACUUUCUAAUGAGGAGACACAGCACUCAAAAAAUCCUCCAUAGAAAUGCAUGGGGUUAGUUUGUAACACCGUUGUAUACACAUAUCCCACCCCUUCCUCGGCAAAACGUUGACAUGUGAAUACAUUGAGCCAAAUCAUAUGGUGUGUUGUGCAGACAUUGUGCCAAUCAUGUGUUGUGAACUCGGAGCUAGAGUAAGGUUGGUGUAGUGAAGCCUUGCGCACGCGCAUUUCUGCCAAAUAGGAUGCCCGAUGAGUGCCAAAAAAGCAUUGCAUUAUGGCUGCCGAGUGCAGGGACUUGCCUAAAAGGACUUUGGUGAAGCUAGGGGUCAUAUACACGUUAAAUCAAUGUUGAACUCUUCAAUUCUAUUACAAAUUCAUGCAAAAAGUUGUCAUUCAGAUGGCUGGUGAUAAGCUCCUACCCAAGGUUCUCAAUCUUAAGAACCAAAUCAUUAGAUGGGCAAGUGGGCCUCUUCUUUCUCUUCCCUGCUGUCUCUCUCUUUCUCUCUCUGUCUUUAUCGUUCGUCCUCUCUCGGCACACUUUUACACACACACACAGUCAUGAUUGACUUGAUUCGAAAGAUUCAAUAAAUGGUUGUGAACCUUUCUUUCUGACUGUCUUUCUCACAUUCUUUCUUUCUCACUGUCUUUCUCUCAUUCUUUCUUUCUCACUGUCUUUCUCUCAUUCUAUCUUGACACAUUUACUUACACACACACACGCACACACACAUACACACACACACACAAUCACUCACUCACUGGUAAGGUGUUUGGCUUUGGUCAAAGGUUCACAACCAUUUAUUGAAUCUUUCUUUCUCUCUUUUUGUGCACACACUCUCUCUUUGGCACUACUGCCUUUGCUUUUGCUUUGGUUUGAGAGCGGGAAAAUUAAUAUUUUUUAAAGCAAAGGGUCCCUAUGUGUGUUUCUGUGUUGAACAUUUUUUUAAUAAAGACAGUUAUACCAUUUCUGUUUGAGAUUUAAGUUAAUACUAUUUAACCUGAAUUUGAAGUUUAACUUAAUUUUUACCAAUGAAAUUAUAUACAAUUAUUAAGCAAAUUCAACUAAAUCUAUAUGGCUGGAUGUAGCUAAAUUAAAUUGAGUGCAAAUGGUUACCUAAAAAAAAU